rnacentral:piRNA from 1 species
UGUCUGCUGGUUUUGGAUCUGGACUGUC